GGCGAUGGAAAAAUCUGUAUGUAUGGAAAAUGUGUCAGCGACCCAUAUGCUCCACAAGUUGAUGAGACUUGCGUAUUUGGAGACGUACAAGAAGAUCAAUGCAAAUCAUUGAUCAGUACAUUUGUAGGCAACUGUUACCAAAGUAAACACUAUGACCUCUGCUGUGGCACCUGUAACAAUAUGUCUAGACCCAUUAGAGGUAAAUACAAACUUCUUAACUACUUCUUAUGUCAACUCCUGUGUAACAAUAAUAACCAUACCUACCCGUAACCAACACUAACUAGCACAUACACACUAACUACCCAUAUCAAAUCCAAACUACCAAUAUAUAACCCUAACAACCCAUAUCAAAU
rnacentral:sRNA from 1 species